UACGUAGGGGGCAAGCGUUGUCCGGAUUUAUUGGGCGUAAAGAGCGUGUAGGCGGUUAGGUAGGUCCGUUGUGAAAACUCGAGCUCAACCUCGAGACGCCGAUGGAAACUCCCUAACUAGAGUCCGGAAGAGGAGAGUGGAAUUCCUGGUGUAGCGGUGGAAAUGACGCAGAUAUCAGGAGGAACACCGGUGGCGAAGGCGGGUCUCUGGGCCGAUACUGACGCUGAGGAGCGAAAGCGUGGGGAGCGAACAGG
rnacentral:rRNA from 1 species